UAGGCGUAAAUGAUGCGAGUUAAGUGUGGGGGCAUCUACGAGAUGGCCCUGUGCUGUAGGGUAGCCGUUAAACUCGCUGCCUGGGGAGUACGGUCGCAAGGCUGAAACUUAAAGGAAUUGGCGGGGGGAGCACCACAACGGGUGGAGCCUGCGGUUUAAUCGGACUCAACGCCGGGAAUCUCACCGGAUAAGACAGCUGAAUGAUAGUCGGGAUGAAGACUCUACUUGGCUAGCUGAGAGGUGGUGCAUGGCGUAGUCGUGU
rnacentral:rRNA from 1 species